GCUCCCUCCCCUCUCCCCUCUCUCCUGUCUCGCGCUCACCCUCACGAGCAUCUUUCCUUCGUCGCCUUCGGUUGCUUCGGUUUUCUCCUUUGAAGAGAAAAUACUUAAGCACGUUAAUUAGCCGAAAGGGAAUAGGUACAGUCUAAUUAGCAGACAACAACAACGAAUCAGCAGUGCUUAGCAAAAAUAAUUAAUAAUAAUUCAAAAUAAUAUCAACCGUCGUGUUCACUCGGGUCGCCAUGGAUACGUCCGAACUAAACCCACAUACCUCUGUAUUAAUCAGUAUGAAAGAAACAAACCGAAUACGCCUAGUGACAUGAUGCUAAGCUACACAAUAGUAUUUAUUGCGGGAGUAUGCGGGAUUUAGAUGUAGCCUCUCUGAGGACUCAGCUAACUUCUUCUUUCCUCUCGACUUGAGGUCACGUUUUGUUACCAAGUCAAGAAGAUCAUUCAUCAGCUACUUGACUAUGCUCAACAUUACAUAAAAGAGACGAUGAGAAGAAGAAAAAAAAGAGAGAGUGGGAGGCAGAGAUGAAGUCCAACACCGCCAUCGGCUCUCUUCCUCCUCUGCAAGUCCGUCUCUCCAUCGCAGGGAAGGGUGGGAGUGCACCGAGGCCAGCCAGGGUGAGGCGUCAUGGGCUUGAGAAGCAUCCUGAACCCCGCUCGGUCAACAGCACCUCUGGAGCUCAGAGCUCAGAGAGAAAUCAAUACGGGGAAAGAGAGACUGAUUCUGGAUCACCCAACCUAGCCCUGAGCCUGCAGGCCAGAUGACCUCCCACACACACAGUCAUAUACGCUGACACACAUACAAAUACAUACUGACAUACAGCUAUGCUAUCUUUCGCACAAUCACACACCUACACAUGCAUGUGUUUGUGUGUCUGGUUUUCCUCGAGGCCAUGUUAUUGUGGAGAAACCUCUACAAUCCAAACUUUUUUUUCGGAAGUGCAAAGGUCCUCGCUUUGUGUUUCCCCCACUUUUGCGCCACUUCGCUACUUGUGUCCAUCCAGGUCACCUUCCACCUCUGUGUGGUGAGAAAAAUCAUUCAGAUAUAUCAAAUAUCUACAAGGAUGGACUUCCUCCCCAGAGCAACUCAUUGCUUAUUCAGUGGCAAGACUUGAACGAGGAAAGCAGCUGUAUUACAUCCCGCUGUGCUCCACAACUCUGCACCAGAAACUCACUCUGCCUCAACCGUAGUAGCCACUUCUUUCACAACCAACCAGCUCACAAGACAGUCAGAAAAAGGGACAUGUUCUGGUUCCAGAACACGGUGUGGACUUAACAAGAGACAGCGCGUAAGAGACUGAGGAGCACCCAGAAGAACAGUGAUGGCAGUGAGAUGUGAUGCUCAAAAAGUGAAUCAGAAAUUCAGCUCAGAUCGUUUUCCCGAGCGAUACAGACCAGGACAAGUGUGUCCCAACAGGCGCGUGUGAUGAGACAGACCGCACUAUAGUGAAGACAGUGAUGUUCAGCUGCUCUCAUUCUGCUUGAACACAGUGAGAGGAAAACACCUAUAAGAAUAUCACCAUGGGACUCGAGAGAUUUUUGUGAAGUACAAAAUGAGUUUCUGCUGAACUUACCUUUGCUCUCGGGCCUCUUUUGAUUAAUAACAUGGACAUUUCAUCAUGGCAUUUUUGGUCUCCGGGUUAUUCCAGAACACUGGACUAGAUACACGAGGUAAGUAGAUAAAAAAUAUAAGCGGUAAUAUGCCUUAUUGAAAAAGAAUCUAUGCAUAUGCAUAUUUCAUAGAUGUUUAAAUUUUAUUUAUGUAUAAUAUAGCACUAAAUUAACAAUUGACUUAUGUGUGUACUUCUAUACACUUUUAUGUUGCAUACCUACAUCACAAUUAAAAAUAUAUACUUUCUAAAGUCAUGCUAAUUUUAUGCCAUUUCCAAUA